rnacentral:rRNA from 1 species
UACGAAGGGGGCUAGCGUUGUCCGGAAUUAUUGGGCGUAAAGGGCUCGUAGGCGGUUUGUCGCGUCGGGAGUGAAAACCAGGUGCUUAACACCUGGCUUGCUUUCGAUACGGGCAGACUAGAGGUAUUCAGGGGAGAACGGAAUUCCUGGUGUAGCGGUGAAAUGCGCAGAUAUCAGGAGGAACACCGGUGGCGAAGGCGGUUCUCUGGGAAUGACCUGACGCUGAGGAGCGAAAGUGUGGGGAGCGAACAGG